CAGUACUUUCUGUGAUUUAAUCUUUUUUUUCAGGUAUGGGGAUCAAACUCAGGACCUUGUGCUUGCCAGGAAGGAGUGGUGCCAUUGAGCUACAUCUCCAGCUCUAUAAUCUUUUAAAAUUAAAUGAUCCCAGCAAGAAACCCACAUGGACCAGAAUUGUGUGGGUGUGAGAAGGUUCCAGCUAGGGCCCUGCUCAGCCAGCAGCCCACAGGCAACAGGUCAAAAGCCUGCCUGGAAAAGAGCUAUGCAGGCAGCAAUCAACAGCUAGAGGCCCACCCAGAUACAUUCGAAUGCAACUGGAUGUUCUCUCCAAGGCUUUCCUCUAAUUGCAGUUAGACCUGGGAAGUUAUCUUUUCCAAUGCCAACGAAUAACUUGUGAUGUAAAUGGUCACCCGACUAGCAUUUUCUUCUGUAGAAC
rnacentral:lncRNA from 1 species